UACAGCAGAUAGAAUGUUAGACUUUGGGUCAGAGAGUGCUGAUUUCAAGUCUUGCUGAAGACAUUUAGGAGUUUUAGAAAGUAAACUGAGGGGAAACUAUUACUCCUGCAAUGACUGCUGUCCUCUGGCUUGUGAAGAGAGAGAGCUGCUAAGGGAACCUGAGACUGCUUAUUUGUAAUGGAGGACCCAGGGAUUUUGGAUGAGGCCUUAAUGGAGAAAUAUUCAGACUUCUCUGAAAUGCACAACCCUGGAACAUACCUGACAAUAUAAUUUAGGAAAAAAUGGACCAGGCAACCAACAUUUGAAUUUAACAUGAUUGUUCCUUGUGUAUGUUCACAAUUCCUGAGCAUUUGAAGAAUCUACUUUGUGCCUUUCAUCAGAAGCCCUUCAUCAUUGUUUCUCUUAAAAUGAAGGCAGAUUUGACACACAUUGAUAUACAAGCCAAAUCUAAAACUGUGACAGCCAGAUUGACUUUGGGAAAAUGGAGUCAGGAUCAUGCCAGGUGCAUCAAGUUUUAUUUAAUUUAUUUACUUCCCCCGAUUCUACCUGCUGGCAUCAUCCCCUAGUUUGCCCCCACUUUCCACCCAUACUUGCCCCUAAUAUCUAGGUCCUCCAAAGAAUGUCAGUCCUGACCCCAAUUGAAAACCGAUCAUUCAAGAAGGUAGUCAGCAUUUUCAAAGCAUCUACUAGGUGCCAGUCCCAGUGCUAAGUCCUCAGGAUUCAAAUGCAAAGAAUGAGAAGAUCCCUAUCCUCAAGUCUGCAUCCGAGCCUCUGCCAGGUCUUCCCCCUUCUCCUCCAGCCAGUCCUCUUAAUAAUGCAGAGAUGAUAAUGCUCCCCAAUACAACCCUGCCCAAACAUGCUAUUUUUGUGACUUCCCUUUCACUCACCACUUCAGGAAAUUCACUUCCCUUCCCUCUGCCAGUGUUUAAUAAAAUAAAUAUUUCAUAUGCUUGUUAGUAAGUC
rnacentral:lncRNA from 1 species